rnacentral:rRNA from 1 species
GACGAACGCUGGCGGCGUGCUUAACACAUGUAAGUCGAACGGUGAAGCGCCUUCCUUUUUGGUGGGUGUGGAUGAGUGGCGAACGGGUGAGUAACACGUGAGUAACCUGCCCCCUUCUUCUGGAUAACCGCAUGAAAGUGUGGCUAAUACGGGAUAUUCUGGGUCUGUCGCAUGAUGGGUCUGGGAAAGAUAUUGUUUCGGUGGGGGAUGGGCUCGCGGCCUAUCAGCUUGUUGGUGGGGUGAUGGCCUACCAAGGCGGUGACGGGUAGCCGGCCUGAGAGGGUGGACGGUCACACUGGGACUGAGACACGGCCCAGACUCCUACGGGAGGCAGCAGUGGGGAAUAUUGCACAAUGGGCGCAAGCCUGAUGCAGCGACGCCGCGUGAGGGAUGGAGGCCUUCGGGUUGUGAACCUCUUUCGCCAGUGAAGCAGGCCUGCCUCGUUUGUGGGUGGGUUGACGGUAGCUGGAUAAGAAGCGCCGGCUAACUACGUG